AUUGUGUAUGAAGCGGCCAGACAAGCUUGCUGAGCUAAGAAAUCUAUUUUCUUUUUUAUUGCGGAAAAUAUCCAAAAAUCAAUUAAGCACCAGCUAUGAUCAGAGCAUGGUGUAUUCCAGGUCAGCAGUACCUUGUAUCAUAAAAGGGCAAGGAGUCUUUUUUUCAUCAAGACCACAGAACGCUGAGAGGACGGCGUGUACCUUAUUUUGCUGAUCUAGCUCUCACUCACCACACGCAAGGUUUCCUUGGCCUUGUCUCCAUGGAAAUCAAGGGGGGCACAUGGAGGAUGCUGUUCCUUCUCCUCCUUGGACAGCUAGUCUCCUUCUCCCUGGCAAUCUGCAACUUCAUCACUUCUGUUAUUUCUAAUCACGGAGUUGAUGCACCACUGACGCAGUCGUUCUUCUCGUACAUGUUGUUGGCGCUGGUUUAUGGACCAAUUCUCCUGCGGCGGCGACAAACGUUACUGAUACCGUGGUAUUGGUACCUCCUGUUGGUCCUUAUCGAUGUCGCAGGAAACUGUCUUACUAUAAAGGCGUACCAAUACUCAUACAUCACCAGCAUAACCUUGUUGAGCUGCUGCACCAUUCCAUGGGUCAUGAUCCUUACCAGGUUUGCACUAGGCGCAAGAUAUUCUUUCUGGCAAUUUGUAGGAGCAGGAACCUCGGUGGCAGGACUUGCCGUGGCAAUUAUGUCAGAUUCCGAUUCCCCAGAUGUGCAAGAUGUUAGUAAAAUACCUCUUUUGGGGGAUGCCAUUGCCAUUGCCGGGACACUUUGUUUUGCCUUUAGCAAUGUCGGAGAGGAAUACUGUGUCAAGAAGAAAGACAGAAUUGAAUAUCUUGCAAUGCUUGGAAUAUUUGGGAUGCUUGUCACUGGAAUUCAGUUAACACUGUUUGAGAGGAAGAAAAUAGACGCAGUUAAUUGGUCUCCAACAAUGAUAGGCUUGUUCGCAGGAUUUGCGGCAGUAUUUUUGGUGUUCAGAACCACUGCUCCUUUUGUUAUUAAGAUAACAGUUCGCAACUCAUCAACAAGUACUAGUUCUGAUGGUCCUACCAUUGACAAAUAGCAACGUUACAAUAGCAUUAGCUUACUGACGAGAACUUGUCGCAGAUGAGUGGAGCAACUCUGUUCAACCUCUCGCUCUUAACAACUGAUGUUUGGGCGGUUGCAGUUCGAAUUUUCUUCUAUCAUCAGCAGGUAAACUGGAUCUACUAUAUAGCAUUUUCUAUUGUAG